rnacentral:lncRNA from 1 species
GGUGACAGCAUAGCUCCCUGGGCUGUGCGGGUAGACAAGUACGCUGGCAUUGCAACACCCCUUGUCUUAGAGCCGGCUCGCUUCGCCAACACACUCAUCUAAACCAAAUCUACUAGACGCCCCUUAGAUAAAACUACAAACCAGGGGCCGCUAGCCAAGCCGAGUCGUCUCUGAUCACGCCAACUGACUCAACUCUGGUCCUGCCGGUCCGAUCUUUCCCUCCUUCCUUAAUCCUGUGAUUGACAUAUUACGAACGACUGAGCCGAGCCUCCUGGUUAAGCGUUUUACCAGGCGAUCUCCUGAGGCCCGCUUCCGUUACCGCAUCAUCUGCCUUGGGUGGGAUACUGCCGUCGCGGGAGUCCGCUGUAACAUCAUGUUCCUCCAGUUCGUCAUGUUUUCGUUUGAACCAUCUCCGCUCCAGUCUUGCACCUCCGAAUUCUCCGUUAUGGUGUCGCCGUCAGUGGCGACCGAG